GUAAGCUAUGAUCCAGAGAUUUCCGAAUGGGGGAACCCAACAUCUUUAAUAGGAUGUUACGAUUGUGUGAAUACAUAGCACAUUCGAGGUAGACGCAGAGAACUGAAACAUCUAAGUACCUGCAGGAAGAGAAAGAAAAUUCGAUUCCCUGAGUAGCGGCGAGCGAAACGGGAAAAGCCCAAACCAGCAAGCUUGCUUGUUGGGGUUGUAGGACUCCAAUAUGGUAGUUCUUUCAGAUAGUCGAAUGACUUGGAAAAGUCAGUCAAAGAGGGUAAAAACCCCGUAGACGAAAUGUGGAAGACACCUAGGAGGAUCCUGAGUACGGCGGAACACGAGAAAUUCCGUCGGAAUCCGGGAGGACCAUCUCCCAAGGCUAAAUACUCCCUAGUGACCGAUAGUGAACCAGUACCGUGAGGGAAAGGUGAAAAGCACCCCGGAAGGGGAGUGAAAUAGAACCUGAAACCGUGUGCCUACAACAAGUCAAAGCCCGUUAAUGGGUGAUGGCGUGCCUUUUGUAGAAUGAACCGGCGAGUUACGAUUGCAUGCGAGGUUAAGUUGAAGAGACGGAGCCGCAGCGAAAGCGAGUCUGAAUAGGGCGUUUGAGUAUGUAGUCGUAGACCCGAAACCAUGUGAUCUACCCAUGUCCAGGUUGAAGGUGCGGUAAAACGCACUGGAGGACCGAACCCACGUACGUUGAAAAGUGCGGGGAUGAGGUGUGGGUAGCGGAGAAAUUCCAAACGAACUUGGAGAUAGCUGGUUCUCUCCGAAAUAGCUUUAGGGCUAGCCUCGGAAUUGAGAAUGAUGGAGGUAGAGCACUGUUUGGACUAGGGGCCCAUCUCGGGUUACCGAAUUCAGAUAAACUCCGAAUGCCAUUCAUUCAUAUCCGGGAGUCAGACUGUGAGUGAUAAGAUCCAUAGUCGAAAGGGAAACAGCCCAGACCACCAGCUAAGGUCCCAAAAUAUAUGUUAAGUGGAAAAGGAUGUGGGGUUGCACAGACAACUAGGAUGUUGGCUUAGAAGCAGCCACCAUUUAAAGAGUGCGUAAUAGCUCACUAGUCGAGUGACCCUGCGCCGAAAAUGUACCGGGGCUAAACAUAUUACCGAAGCUGUGGAGUACACCUUUAGGUGUAUUGGUAGGAGAGCGUUCUAAGGGCGUUGAAGGCAGAUCGUGAGGACUGCUGGAGCGCUUAGAAGUGAGAAUGCCGGUAUGAGUAGCGAAAGACAGGUGAGAAUCCUGUCCACCGAAUGACUAAGGUUUCCUGGGGAAGGCUCGUCCGCCCAGGGUUAGUCGGGACCUAAGCCGAGGCCGACAGGCGUAGGCGAUGGAUAACAGGUUGAUAUUCCUGUACCCGUUGUUUUUGUUUGAGCAAUGGAGGGACGCAGGAGGCUAAGGAAUGCAGACGAUCGGAAAUGUCUGUCCAAGCAGUAAGUCUGAAGAGGAGU
rnacentral:rRNA from 1 species